GUCUUUAAUUGGGAGUGUUUGCUUGGAGUUUUUAAGGGAAAGUUGAGUUUGAUAGCUUUAGGUUGAACUUAAAGCACAAACUUCACGUUGCUAGGACUGUUCUGGGUCACGGCAGUGCAGAAGGCGCUGCCUGGACAGAGGGGCAGGCCCGUCUGAUGUCUUGUCAUGUGUGAUGCCUUACAGUGCACAGUGACUUAGCAGCUCUCUUUCCCGUUUUAGGCUCUUACAGACUGAGAUACGCAC
rnacentral:lncRNA from 1 species